GAAACCCAAGGAGCGAAAUGGCUUGCAUUGCUCAAGAAACCGAACUCUGAAUCAUUAAAAAAUUGCAGUGAUGAAUGAAAUCACGAAAUGGAAGAAAUGACUCCACGCACAAAUAUAGUACAAUGCAAUACCGUCCUAAUGAAACAACUACGAUAGUGUCCCUGCGUGCCGUAUAAGGAAAUAACCAGUCAACGAAUUGGUUCAGAGAGGUGGGAGUGAUAUUGGAGUCCAUCGUUUGGACAGCUGUAUCACAAGAGCUAAACAUCUGUGUUCUCUCGUCAAAUUGUUAUCGGGCUAAAGAUUGUGGACCUGGGCCACUGGCACAUGCGCCAACAGAAGCCCGCUGAUGUGCAGAGCCGACAGGCUCCCAGCAUGCUCCUGUGAAUGCCAGCAGAUUGGAGACAGUUGAUGGCUCACAGAGGUGCCGCUUCCCUGGCGGAUGCUGUCAGACUCCUGGGAAGAAGGCAGCGGUGGGGGGAGGGGGGUUCAGAGUUUUGGGAGGAAAUGGACAAAGGCUUAUCUGUGUCUAUGCCUGAGGGAAACUGGUUACCAGCUUAGCAGGGAACUGGAGGGCUUAAUUGUCCAUAACUCACCCUGUACCCUUAUAUCAGAGAAAAAAGGAACAUAUCACUGGUGGUGACCUCGCUUCAGCAUCUAAGGGUUGUGGACAUGCAUCUCCAGUCAGGCCUGUGUUCUUGGUGGGGAAUCAAACCCACAACCAUGGAGGUGGGCCAUUGUGUUUUCUUGCAAUUAAAACAACAAUAAAAGGAGUAAGAUAC